rnacentral:rRNA from 1 species
GAUGAACGCUGGCGGCGUGCCUAAUACAUGCAAGUCGAGCGACCAGAUAAGGAGCUUGCUCCUUUGACGUUAGCGGCGGACGGGUGAGUAACACGUGGGUCACCUACUUCUAAGUCUGGGGUAACUUCGGGAAACCGGAUCUACUACCGGCUCAUAUUUCGAACCGCUUGGUUCGAUAGUGCUUGAUGGUUUUGCUGUCUCUUAUAGAUGGACCCGCGCCGUCUUAGUUAGUUGGUAAGGUAACGGCUUACCAAGGCGACGAUACGUGGCCGACCUGAGAGGGUGAUCGGCCACCCUGGAACCGAGACACGGUCCAGACUCCUACGGGAGGCAGCAGUAGGGAAUCUUCCGCAAUGGGCGAAAGCCUGACGGAGCAACGACGCGUGAGUGAUGAAGGUCUUCGGAUCGUAAAACUCUGUUAUUAGGGAAGAACAUACGUGUAAGUAACUGUGCACGGCUUGACGGUACCUAAUCAGAAAGCCACGGCUAACUACGUG